GACGAACCGAGCGAACGUUGUUCGGAAUCACUGGGCUUAAAGGGCGCGUAGGCGGGUGCUCAAGUCCGGGGUGAAAUCCUCCAGCUCAACUGGAGAACUGCCUCGGAUACUGGGCGUCUCGAGUGUGGUAGGGGUGUGCGGAACUAUCGGUGGAGCGGUGAAAUGCGUUGAUAUCGAUAGGAACUCCGGUGGCGAAGGCGGUUAGCUGGGCAGUUGCUGACACUGAGGCGCGACAGCGUGGGGAGCAAACAGG
rnacentral:rRNA from 1 species